rnacentral:tRNA from 1 species
CGCGGUUUAGAGAAAUUGGUUAUCUCGUCAGGCUCAUAAUCUGAAGAUUGCAGGUUCAAGUCCUGCAGCCGCAC